GUUGGUGGAGUGAUUUGUCUGGUUAAUUCCGUUAACGAACGAGACCUCAGCCUGCUAAAUAGUCCGACGAACACUAUUGUGUUCGCUUCGGAGCUUCUUAGAGGGACUGUCUGUAUCUAGCAGAAGGAAGUGUGAGGCAAUAACAGG
rnacentral:rRNA from 1 species